GUGCUUGCUUCGGCAGUACAUAUACUAAAAUUGGAAUGAUACAGAGAAAAUUGGCAUGGCUUCUAUGGAAAGAUAGCACACAAAUUUGUGAAGCAUUCCAUAUUUUU